ACCACUUCAGCAUUUACUUAGAACUCUCUGCUUCCCAUCAUACUCAGACUAAGCUGAACUGGAGUUAAGGUAGGGAUGAAUCUCAGACUUGCUGUGUUCGGAAUUAUCUUCCUCAUCCCAUGACACAGACUUUUUUACUGAGUCAACCUAAUCUUUCCUGGAUCAUUCCUCUCUCGGGACCAGUCCUCUUCCAGAAAAUUUCUCAGUCUUUAUGCAGACAAGAUUCUGGGGGCUGACACUGCUUUUUUUGCCAGAUGUCCCUAGACACAUCUGAAUCUCUUUUAGUCUCAAGCUGGAGCCUUUUUCACCAUUGCACAAAAAGCUGGGUAUAGUUCAAAUUCCUGACUGUAUAUUCUGAUUCCCCUGGGCAUUUACACUCUGCCAUCCCACACAGUUCCCCCUCCUGUGUGAGGGUCCUAUUGCAAUUCAUUAGCGUGCUUUUUUUUUUUUUUUUUUUUUUUUUUUUGCUUUUUGUUUUGGAGACGGAGUCUUGCUCUGUCCCUCAGGCUGGAGUGCAGCGGCGCCAUCUCAGCUGAAUGCAACCUCUGCCUCCUGGGUUCAAGAGAUUCUCCUGCCUCAGCCUCCCAAGUAGCUGGGAUUACAGGUGCGUGCCACCACGCCUGGCUAAUUUUUUGUAUUUUUAGUAGAGACAGGGUUUCACCGUGUUAGCCAGGAUGACCUUGAUCUUCUGACCUCGUGAUCCUCCCACCUCAGCCUCCCAAAGUGCUGGGAUUACAGGCGUGAGCCACAGCGCCCGGCCUUCAGCGUGCUUUUUUUUUUAAUGGUUUGCUAUAUUUACAUCUGGUUUCUCCUUCUGAAUGUAUUUUCCAGAGAGAAGUACUGAGAAGCUUAAAGUAUUUGAAUGGGAGGAGGAGAAGCAAACUACAGCUACUUCAGAGGAUAACACUAAACACCUAGUCCACUCUGUAUACACUAGAGGUGCUGUUAAUUUUCUUGUGGAGAAGGAACUGUCUUUAGAAAAAUAUCUCAAAAAGCCACUGAAGUAGAAAGUUUCAGCAUGCUGAAGAUGGAACUUGAGAAGAUAGAAAGUUCUGGGUCCUUAGUGGCAUGACUGAGUCGCUGGACCACUGUUGGAACCACCCUAUGUCUUAGUUUUUAAAUCUCUUUACUGUCUAAGACAUUUUUAGUGGAAGUAUUUAUCUCUGGCAUCCAAUAAGACCUUUAAGGAUUUGCAGUUUUAUCUAUGUGUUUGUUUAUUGUCUGCUCCACCCUACUUGAUUGUGAUCACCAUGACAUCAAUGACUGUGCAUCUUUUGUUCACUCAGGAAUAUCCAGUGCCUGCCACGCAGAGUGUGCUGCAUGUACAUGCUCACUUGAUAUCUGUUGUAGCAAAGAGUGAAAGAGAGAAGGAAUAAAUGCUUUCUCCCAUGAUGAGGGGACAUGGGGUCCAGACAAGCUGGACCAUUAUCCCAGGCCCAGCGCUCUGCUUUAUUUUUUUUUUUCCAGUACAGCAUCACAUUCAGUUACAACAGAGUGAAAUCUCCUAAGAACACGGCUGAUUAUUUCUUGAUUGCAAAAAGGACUCACUAACCCUCCGAUCUCCUGUAACGCAAGUCAAUGCUCUUCUAAUCUCCUUUUAGACAGCACCUGUACUUGUCAGUCAACGCAUGGUAGUCUGGGCUAGCCAAGUGAAUCCUUAACUAAACUGAAGUGGUGCUGAUCAUUCAGCCUUCAGAAUUGAAAAAAUCACAGCAUUGCUGAAGGAAAAGGCAUUUUUCAGGUAGAGAGGCAUAAGUCUUGGGCCAGGAAGCUUCAGUAAGAAGACAAUAAUUUCAUAGAAAUGCAUUAGCUUGGGGAGUCCAACUGCUGUUCUUGCACCUAAGAAAUUCAGAGGAGAGCUCUUUGCUUCCUUGCUCAUUCCAGUGGUUAGGAGUCAGGCCUUGUCCCAGAAUGUUCAGGUUGAUGCUUACCAUUUAAGCCUUAAGUUAAUCCGUUGAAGCUCCAGGCCUUUUAUGGGAUUCACAAGAAUAAACAGCAUUUAACUAUAGAUUCUCAAAGGUCAAAUCUUCAACCUAAAUCUGAGGAUUCAAAGCAUUGUUCACUCUAAUAAUUCUGCUAGUUCCCAACUUCACACAAACCAUUUAUUUCAGAAUGUAAACCUUGAAUAAUCUUUUCUUACUUGUAGUUUUGUGGUCAUUUAGAAAACAGCAAUACUCUAUUUUAAUUGGAACUAAGUGACAAAAAUAAGCCACUUCAUUAGUUUUCUAGAUAACGGUAAAAUGUAAGAACAAAAAGCCACUUCUUUUUCCACGUGGUAUUUUACAGUGACUUUUUUUUUUCUUUUUACUGCAUUUUAAAAUUCUACUGGAGGCAUUUCUCGGAAACUUUCUCUUACUUGUUAAUGAAUCAUCCCCUUUGAGAAUCAGCAGGUGAUUUCAGGAGCCCAGGUGUGAAUAAUUGAUUUAAGGUCGACCUUGUGGGUGGAGCCAAUGUUUACCAAGUGCAUUCAUUCGACAAACAAUUGAUGAACACCAAAUUAGAGUUCAAUUCCAGAUAACAAAAACCAGUUGAACUAAUUUCAUCAGAAAGCUACUUAAUAGGGGUAAUUAGGUGCUUACAAAAUAGAAGGGCUGGAAGCCCAGGAUCUAGGCUGACACCCAUGUAGCUAGACCCUGGAAACUGGGAUUCCAGCUGCACAGAACAGCCAAGUGUGUUCAUGACUGUGCUUGUUUGUCAGCAGGAGCAUGGCCCUGCCUUGUGAUACUGUGUUUUUCAGCUCUCACGUGGCUGAGUCUGUUUGGAGAAGUUGGUUCAAGAUGCAGCUUGACUCUCAGGGAGUCUGAAUAACUACCCUUAAUAUUGUUAGCUUUCUGGUCUCCAGCACACAGUAUGAUUUUCUGGAAGAAGGAUUUAAUGUAGUUAAAUAUGCCAACGUGUAAUAUCUGAUGUACAUUUCUACCCUGCUUGGGAUACAAAAUAAAUAAAAGCCAGUUUCUGUCUGUAAGGAGUGUACAGUUUAGUAAGAAGACAGACUCCUGAACAAAGAUGUAUACUUCAAUGUUGCCAGCCCAGGAUUAGAGAUGGGUAUUAAGAGGACCUCUGAUGAGUGAUAUUUUGCAUCUGGUGCAGGACAGUUCCCUAGGUGGCCUUGGACCAAACCAGUCCUCCCGCUUUCUCACUUGUAGUUUUAAGAAUAACUAGAAUGUGCUGGGAAUGCAACAUCCCGAGAUAAGGCCUAGGCUCUGUUCCAGUCCCCGCUAGAAACAGGAUGUCCUUCAGCACAUUAAUCCAGCAGGUCAUGUUAUCCCUGGAGUAGAAAACCCAGAGACGGCUACUUUCCAGGGUCCUGCAUCUGGGGUGCAAGUGAGGCACACGCAGAUGAGACUCCACCUGCCCUGGGCAGCUUUCCUGAGCCUUGAGAAACCAGCUCACCAUGAAUCCAAGGUGUCUGCUGUUCCUUGCCACCAUUUCAUGGAACCUGUUGUAUGUGUGAGUAUUCUCUCUUACCGGAGCAAGUAGUCAAAGUGCAGCCCAAGAUGCAGUGGGCUGAAGUAACCAGUGCAUAGUGAGCCUGCUUCUCACUGGGAUUUGAUUAAUCAUUUGAAAAUGCAUUAUUCUAAGUGCUUAACUUUAAAAGGGAAAAUAUUCUACUAUGAACGUGGACUCCCUAAAACAACAGAUUAAGGGAAGGCUGAAAGUGAUGACCCCUUUAAUUCCUGCUUUCCCAAGGAGACCCUCUGAUUCCCUGUGUGGUCCUUCCAUUUCCCCUUCAGGAGGCUGAAUGCCAUCGUGUCCACUUAUUUAGGCAAAGGAGAUGAAUGGGUUGCUUGGCUGCGGUUAGUCAUCAGGCCACUGGCAGAGUAGACUGGCACACGGAAAUCCUGAAGCUGAAUUCACUGUUACCUUUUGAGUCACUGUUACCCACCCACCCCAGACUUCCUCCCACCCCUAGUCUGAACCUGGAUCCUAUUCAAAGAUGUUUUCCCAUCUCUUUCCACUUACCUUCUGAAUUCAUUUUGGAGGAAUGUACCAAGAUCCUUUGAAUCCUCCAGGAAUGUUGAACUCAGUGAAAAGUGAUGUGGUUAAGAAAGCAAAUAAUAUGCUGAAAGAUGUUCAUUGGAAGUGGCUAGGGACAUCAAAGAAAUUGAUGAAUCUGCAUUUCAAAAAGCCAGCAGGGGGUAACAUUUCAGCUUACCUCAUAUUUCUCCUGCUUCUAAAUUGGCUAUUUACUGCCCAUGAAGUUUCUUCCUUCCCAUCAGGGCAGAAUACUAAUAUAGUUAGCCCCAGGAAAGAGAUGUCUGGAAAUGGUAUUGUCUUCUUAAAUCAAAGCAGCUGAAAGAAAUUUGUCUCUUUUAUUAACAAUGAAAUAUAGUUGCUAUCAAUGAGCAUCUACUGUAUUUCAGGCACUGUACUUAAACACUCUACAUGCAUUAUGCCAUUUAAUCCUCAAUCGUAUUGCUGAGAUCGAUAAUAUCAUUGACCCUAUUGUAUAGUUUGGGAAAAGGAGGGUAGCGAGAUUAGGAAAAUCGCCCAACUUGGCAACUGCUGGAGCAAGGAUUUGAGCUCUGUUGACCAUAUUGAUCACUAUAUGAUGUUGUCUCAUUGCCUUUAAACAACACUAGGGUUGGGUUAGGGUAGCAGAGGAUGUAUAUAAUAACACACACUGUUUAGUGAGAGUAAUUUUCCAGAACAAGCAAGAAAGGAGAAAUGCUUCAAUAAUCUUCUGAAGUUUAGUUUCCAUGGACAGUUAUGGAUUGCUAAGAAAUUGUCAAUAAAGGUAAGGGCCACGGAAGAAGCAGAAAUAAGCUGCACAGGCCAGGCACUGUGCCAUGUCAGUGGCAGAGCCACACCGUCACCUUCAUCAGAGCCCAAGGUCUGAAGACACUGAAAAGAAGAUCUGGCCACCAAAUGCCCUCAACAAGGGGUUGUCCAGACCCUGCUUCAACAUUGUCAGCAGCAGGGCAUGCUCCACCUCAGCAGACAGCCACUUUUGUUUUCAAGUAACUCUCUAAUUGCAAAAAAUGUACUUUGUAUUCAUCCAAAUCGGUGUCCAGGUAGCAUUCACAAGUAUUUGGGAGGCAGAGGCAGGAGGAUUCCUAGAGGACAGGAGUUCGUAUCCUCUGAAAACAUGUAGAAUAAAUCCAACUCCUUUCCCAUAUGAUAGUUCUUUGGAUAUUCAAAGCCCUUCCCCACACACCCAGCUGGCUUCUUAACCAUCCUUCAUACUGUGUGGAUUUGAACCAUUCUCCAUUGCAGUCUUUCUCCUUUAGGCACAUUAUAGUUUUGCGAAAAGUAUUUUGUUAGGUGAAGUACACAAAAUUAAAUAAGGCAUGUUUAGUGUCUUUAAGUAUCUCUUAAAGACAAUUGUAUGAGAUUAACUAUUGUCAAAAGCCCCCUUAAAAACUCUUCCGAGGUUCUGAGCAUGGGUGGGUCAUGUCUGUAAUCCCCACACUUCGGGAGGCCAAGGCAGGAGGAUCAUUUGAGGCCAGGAGUUUGAGACCAGCCUGGGCAAUAUAGUGAGACCCCAUCUCUACCAAUAAAUUAAUAAAAAUUAAAUUAAAAAACUACACCUAGAUAUAGACCAUUUGAAGAGUUCAGAGUGGAACUAUGAUGUCCCUACCUUGGACAGUAUACCUCCUUUAAGGAGACCUAAGUUUACAUUAGCAUUUGGAGUUGUGUUGAGUCAACUAAGCCUCUAAGUGUUUUUCACACUGACAGCUGCUAAGCCACAAACCAAGGGCAAUCACUACAGAGACAUGGAAUAAGAAAGAAUGAGUGUUUUCCAGGCUUUCUCUCCCAUUUAGUGAUUUGUGUUCGCACUACCUAUUCAUUCAUUACUUUACUUACUUGCUCAUCCCACAAACAUUUACUGAAUACUUAAGUCUGUCUAAUUAUGCAUAACAUACUUGGGUGGCCUGAAUGGGAAAGAAAUAUCAGACAUUACUUCCUGCCUUUAAAGAGACCUAUAAUUUAGCUAGGGAGGGAAAAAGAAAAAUAACUACAAAACGAAGUAACCUCUCAAAGCAUCACAUAAUGGAAAAAACACAGAAUUGAAUCUGGAACCUGGGUUAUAGAAAAGAGCUUUUUUUUUUUUUUUUUUUUUUGAGCUAGGAUCUUGUCUAUCACCCAGGUUGGAGUGCAAGAUCACAACUCUCUGUAGCCUUGACAUCCUGGGCUUAAGGCAAUCCUCCCACCUCAGCCUCUGGAGUAGCUAAGACUACAGGCACACACCAUCACAUCCAGCUAAUUUUUCUAGUUUUGGUAAAGAUGAGGUUUUACCAUGUUGCCCAGGCUAGUCUCAUACUCCUGUGUUCAAGCGAUCUGCCUGCCUGGGCCUCCCGAAGUGCUCUGAUUACAGGUGUGAGCCACUGUGUCUGACCUAGACAAGAGCACUGACUAAAGAUAAUCACAUUUACUCUCUAGAUCUCAGUUAUCUCAUUUAAAUAAUGAGACACCUGGACUUUUGGGGUUCUUUCUAUUUCUAAGGAUCUGUGCUUCCAAGUGCAAGAUAACUGUAAGCUUCUUGAGGGCAGGGAUCAUACUUCAUGUACAACUGAAUUUCCCAUUAAAUUUGUUACAGUUUUAACUCAUAAUAUCACACAAUACAUAUUUAUUGAAUGGUCUAAUGAAUUCAGAUUAAAUUGGCUUCAGCUUGGGAUACAAAAU
rnacentral:lncRNA from 10 species